AACGCACCUUGCGCUCCCUGGUAUUCCGGGGAGCAUGCCUGUUUGAGUGUCAUUAAAUUCUCAACCCCGAUCGGAUUUGUUUUCGCAUUCGGAGGCUUGGAUUGUGGAGCGUGCUGGCCCCAUCUCAUGGGUCGGCUCCUCUCAAAUGCAUUCGCGGAAUCGACUUUGGUCCGUUUCGGUCAUCAGUGUGAUAAAUGUUGCGCUGUCGGCUAGGAUCGAGGUGCCGCAUACAAUGGUCUUCGGACAAUUUUAUAAACCAUUUGACCUCAAAUCAGGUAGGACUACCCGCUGAACUUAA
rnacentral:misc_RNA from 1 species